GCCCUGUGGGGACACAGGGUUUCCCUUAGACCAAGGCCACCCGGCCACCCAGGCAUGGGGCUCUGAGGGGCAGGGCAAGGUCUGACCGUGGCCAAGCCCUGCAGCAGCCUCCUGGAGCAGUGGCCGCUCUUCAAGGGUUCUGGUCCCGCCCUGAGACAGAGCCACCCCCUUCCCUGUCAUGUGCAGAUGGCUUCCGGAAAGUCGUCCACAUCGAGCAGGGCGGCCUGGUCAAGCCAGAGAGAGACGACACGGAGUUCCAGCACCCAUGCUUCCUGCGUGGCCAGGAGCAGCUCCUUGAGAACAUCAAGAGGAAAGUGACCAGUGUGUCCACCCUGAAGAGUGAAGACAUAAAGAUCCGCCAGGACAGCGUCACCAAGCUGCUGACAGACGUGCAGCUGAUGAAGGGGAAGCAGGAGUGCAUGGACUCCAAGCUCCUGGCCAUGAAGCAGUAGGUCCCACACCAGCACUGUGGGCCGCAGUGGGUCCUGGUGCCCACCAGGAGGCCCCGGGUGCUGUGGGGGCAGGGCCCUGACCGGGGCCAGAUGCUCAGCUCCACCCUCCCGCUCCACACAGAUCUACCCUAGGCGUCUGCCCCAGCCCCGCCGCCCGUGGCUGCUGCAACAGCUCUGGGGCCAGCCGUUUUCCA
rnacentral:sRNA from 1 species